CUUGUUUUGUGACCGUAUUGCAGGUUAUUAUUCCAACCUUGCUCUAACGUUAAGUCAACUACACAAGGUCUCGGUGAGCAGGUGUGUUUUGAGCAAGGCUGGAACAAAAACCUGCACACCAGUUCUCCAAGGGUUAGGGUUGGACAUCCUGGCAUCUGCUCCAAUAUACCGAGGGUGGCGUGAUUCAUUAUAACCAGAUUUCAACAUGUCCUUGAGUGCAGUCCACUCCCACACUGUCUAGUCUGAAAACAUGUCAGACAGAUAUUGGAACGGGGAUGGACAUUGUGACCGAC
ensembl:lncRNA